AGAAUCAACGCUGGCGGCGUGCCUAACACAUGCAAGUCGAACGCGACUGGGGGCUUCGGCUCCCAGUUGAGUGGCGAACGGGUGAGUAACACGUGGGUGAUCUACCUUCGAGCGGGGGAUAACGUUCCGAAAGGAACGCUAAUACCGCAUGACGUUCUGGGUUUAAAGACCUGGAAACCAAAGCCGGGGACCGCAAGGCCUGGCACUUGAAUAGGAGCCCGCGUCCGAUUAGCUAGUUGGCGGGGUAACGGCCCACCAAGGCGACGAUC
rnacentral:rRNA from 1 species